rnacentral:rRNA from 1 species
GACGAACGCUGGCGGCGUGCCUAAUACAUGCAAGUAGAACGCUGAAGGAGGAGCUUGCUUCUCUGGAUGAGUUGCGAACGGGUGAGUAACGCGUAGGUAACCUGCCUGGUAGCGGGGGAUAACUAUUGGAAACGAUAGCUAAUACCGCAUAAUAGUAGAUGUUGCAUGACAUUUGCUUAAAAGGUGCAAUUGCAUCACUACCAGAUGGACCUGCGUUGUAUUAGCUAGUUGGUGGGGUAACGGCUCACCAAGGCGACGAUACAUAGCCGACCUGAGAGGGUGAUCGGCCACACUGGGACUGAGACAAGGCCCAGACUCCUACGGGAGGCAGCAGUAGGGAAUCUUCGGCAAUGGACGGAAGUCUGACCGAGCAACGCCGCGUGAGUGAAGAAGGGUUUCGGAUCGUAAAGCUCUGUUGUAAGAGAAGAACGAGUGUGAGAGUGGAAAGUUCACACUGUGACGGUAUCUUACCAGAAAGGGACGGCUAACUACGUG